GUUCCAGAGAGCAGCUACAUGGAGAGUUUGCCUUCACAGCUACAGUGUGAGGAUGAAACAGGACGGAGAGACCUCCAAGUGCGUACACUUGGAGUUUGUGGGGACGUGGGGAGGCGCAGGAGCUACUUCACCAGAAGGGAGUGGGGAGUAGAUUUAGAGCUACCCCGGGGUAUACAUCACCCGCAGGUUUACUUCUCUGUCUAGAAACACCAGUUUAGACCUGAGCGGACCACCACCUGUAAGUUUGGUUAGGGCGCCUUGACCGUGUGCCAGGUAGAGUGUUUUCAAUUGGGGGUUAGUACAGGUUAGGGGUGGGGACCUUUUUUGUUUAUUUCUUUGUUUUGGUCCGGCCAGCCCUCCCCUUUUCCCAGAAAGUUAUUGUUUAUUUAUGUGUAUUUAUUUUUGUUAGAUAAAUGCGUUAUACUGUCUUUGGUGUUUGUCCUUCUCUCGCACCGCGACUCCAUACCUCUUUUGCUGGCAACGGUGGGCCGGAGCAGUGGGUUGUCAUGUUCCCCUCCCUUUUGGGAGCUGGAGCGUAACAGUAAGUUUCAUCUAACCAGAAUCUCUAUAACCAGAGACCGACACAGCAUCUGCAGUCACAGGGAGAAUGAAGUUGUUUGUCCACGAGACAAGAAAAAAAAAACCCUCAAAGGAACAAAUUCAAUAUAUCGUGGUGACCUCUUUCUAGACAAUUGUCUCUGGCUCAUUCCAAUCAAACUCAAGAUGACCUAAACUAACGAGUGACCCCGGUGACCAGUGGGCCACAAAAGUAAGAUCCAAAUAAUGCCAGUGGAAUAAAAGCAGCUGGUUGGACGGAAGGAAGCAACUGGAAGUGAAACAGAAGAGAGACCUCAUACCGGAUUACUGACAGGGUUCACCCAACUUCUUUAAAACUUUCUUAAAUAUAGUGGGAAAAUGUUAACAUGUUGAUUUAUAAGAACAGCAGCAUAUAAACAGAGGACAUACACAAAUCCAGACAGUCUUCUGACCAUCUGACUAUGUUCAAUUUAAGAAUAAGCUUCAUAAGUGGCUGCUGCGAGCUCAAUGAAAUCUUUGAAUCAAAAGCUCCCGGCUGACCAUCUAUCUCUGUAGAGAGAAGAAAAC
ensembl:lncRNA